rnacentral:rRNA from 1 species
UAGGGAAUCUUCCACAAUGGACGAAAGUCUGAUGGAGCAACGCCACGUAAGUGAAGAAGGGUUUCGGCUCGUAAAACUCUGUUGUUAAAGAAGAACAUAUCUGAGAGUAACUGUUCAGGUAUUGACGGUAUUUAACCAGAAAGCCACGGCUAACUACGUGUCAG